rnacentral:rRNA from 1 species
UACAGAGGGGGCAAGCGUUAUUCGGAAUUAUUGGGCGUAAAGGGCGCGUAGGCGGCUUUGCAAGUGGCGGGUAAAUCCCUCGGCUUAACCGAGGAACUGCCUGUCAAACUGCAUGGCUUGAGACCGGGAGAGGUGAGUGGAAUUCCCAGUGUAGCGGUGAAAUGCGUAGAUAUUGGGAGGAACACCAGGUGGCGAAGGCGGCUCACUGGACCGGUACUGACGCUGAUGCGC